AGUCGAGAUGCAGAGGUCGGCUUCGAACCACGGACCUUCAGGUCAAUAAAUUCAAACUCUAACCACUGAGCCUUCUCGUC
rnacentral:tRNA from 11 species